rnacentral:rRNA from 1 species
UAGGGAAUCUUCGGCAAUGGACGAAAGUCUGACCGAGCAACGCCGCGUGAGUGAAGAAGGACUUCGGUUCGUAAAACUCUGUUGCCAAGGAAGAACGGCUGAGGGAGUAACUGCCCUUGGUUUGACGGUACUUGAGAAGAAAGCCCCGGCUAACUACGUGCCAGCAGCCGCGGUAAUACGUAGGGGGCAAGCGUUGUCCGGAAUUAUUGGGCGUAAAGCGCGCGCAGGCGGCUCGUUAAGUCUGGUGUUUAAACCUGGGGCUCAACCUCGGGUCGCAUCGGAAACUGGCGGGCUGGAGUGUAGGAGAGGGAAGUGGAAUUCCACGUGUAGCGGUGAAAUGCGUAGAGAUGUGGAGGAACACCAGUGGCGAAGGCGACUUCCUGGCCUAUAACUGACGCUGAGGCGCGAAAGCGUGGGGAGCAAACA